UCCAGACUCCUACGGGAGGCAGCAGUGGGGGAUAUUGCACAAUGGGGGGAACCCUGAUGCAGCGACGCCGCGUGGGUGAAGGAGCGUUUCGGCGCGUAAAGCCCUAUCGGCAGGGAAGAAGGAGGACGGUACCUGGCUAAGAAGCCCCGGCUAACUACGUGCCAGCAGCCGCGGUAAUACGUAGGGGGCAAGCGUUAUCCGGAUUUACUGGGUGUAAAGGGGGCGCAGACGGCAGCGCAAGCCAGGAGUGAAAGCCCGGGGCCCAACCCCGGGACUGCUCUUGGAACUGCGCGGCUGGAGUGCAGGAGGGGCAGGCGGAAUUCCUGGUGUAGCGGUGAAAUGCGUAGAUAUCAGGAGGAACACCGGUGGCGAAGGCGGCCUGCUGGACUGCGACUGACGUUGAGGCCCGAAAGCGUGGGGAGCAAACAGGAUUAGAUACCCCCGUA
rnacentral:rRNA from 1 species